rnacentral:sRNA from 1 species
UCCCACGUGGCCAUAUUUGUUGCAACGAA